GGUCUUGGCCCCGAUGCUGGACAAUUCAGUUCCUCCCAUUUGUCUCUGGUGCCUUUCAAGCUGCUGCCCCAGCACUGGAGCUCAGGAUUGAAUCUGACUGCCGGCAGAGGAUCCAAUAGCAGAUACCAGGACCGGCAAGAAGAUACGUGCCUAAGUCUGUAAAUGCAGAGUCUCCACCCCACCCCAUCCACCAACACCGACACUGCUGUGAGCACGACACACUUCUAUGCAAAGCCACUGAAAUCUGCCAGUUGUUUCUUCCAGCAACUUCCCUCUCUGAUACAGAUGGGGAAACAGAGGCAGAGGAAGGAAUCAGUGGCCAGAGUGGAGGCACCAGGAGGCAAAACAAGAACCAGCGCUGCACUUGGUCACAUGGCCUCACCUCUCCCCACUGGCCUGGCUUGCCCACUGUUUACUUGGCCUCUAAAGUGUCCUUAUUACAGCAUCAAUUCUAGGACCAUAAUGGGGGUGGAAAGCUACCACUUGGCCUGAGAAGUUUAGUCUGAAUUCUGGGAAAGAGGCAGCCUGGCUCCUUAACCGUAAAUAGGUCAUUAACAAGAACAAGAACAAGUGGAUGUUUCUCUCUCCACCCACCCCCUCUAUCCCCUUUCCUCUUUCUCUCUAAAAUCAACUUUUAAAAAAAGACUAAAUACAUUGGGAUUGAAUGGCCCUCAGUCCCAGCUGAGCCAACCCUCUGAGGACUGUGACGUCCCACCCGGAGGACAAGGACAGGAGGAGAGAACACAGCUCCCUGGAGAAGGGCAGUGCGGCACAGUGAGAACAGUGGCAUUGGUCAGGAGGCCUGCAUUUAGGUCUCUGAUCUGCCUUUGGCCGAGCAGCCAGGGCAAACCACUUCCUCUAGCUGAGGCCAGCUCCAUCAUCAGUGAAAUGGGGUGAAUGCCUCUGCUUGAGUCAAAAAUUUGUCAGAGUGUUAGGAAAAAAAGAGAAAGCUCUUUGUAACAUUUAAAAAAAAAAAGGCCUGAUUAUAUAUUGAUGGGAAUGGGCUUCAGAAGAGCAGGCCAGUUACAUUUUGAGUCCUUUAGAGCUCUGAUAUUUCCAAUGGCUCUGUUUGCAAUCCAGCCCCAUCAUUGGGCUCGGGGGGUGUCAGAGGCCUGGGUUAGACCCUGUGAACAGCUUGUAAAGGCCUCCCACUGACUUUGUAACCUCAUCUCAGCUCCUCUUUCCUUCUGAAGAAAGGAAUAACUGUCCCCGACUAGUAGGGAGCUGGUCUGGCUCAGGGCACAUGUUCCCAAGUGCCCCAGCUAUAACUGCUUGGUGUGUGCAAAGUUGCAAGGACAGUUGAACAUGGACUUUGCAUCAAGGACAUUAAUCAAGGAUUUGAAAAUAAUUGCCUCCUAUAGCCCUGCCUGAGUAGUUCAGUUAGUUAGAGCAUCGUCCUAAUAGACCAAGGUUGUGGGUUCAAUCUCCAGUCAGGGCACAUACAAGAAUCAACCAAUGAAUGCAUGUGG